AGGGUUAGAUUGGGGGCGAUGGUGAUGGAGUUGCCGCCAAUGGAUCUGGUGACUAAGGUGCUCGAUUCCUCUGAUCUCACCGGUGAGAAGGCUGUGGUGGCCAAGAUGAUGAAGGAAUUACAGGAGAAGCAUCCCAUACAGCUCCAGUACGACGCAGAUGUCUUGCUCCACGCUUUGUGUAAACCCUGGGAAGUGGGUGGUCACGCUUACGAUUUUAAGAAAUGCCAUCGCCAAUUAAGAAUCACCGAUCCAUAUCAAACUUAUUCGACAGACCAAGUCUUGCUUCAAUGGCACGAGAGAGUAGUAGCAGAAAGAGAGGCAUGGAACAGGCAAAGGCAGCUCAAAGCACACAUGCUCUUCCUUCUUUCCAAUCUCCAAGUUGCGGAGAGGCAGCGGCGUCGCACCAUAGGUUCACAAGCGCUCUAUCUCUCAAUCGUCACCGAGCUGCGUUGAGGUUUUAGUCAAGUCUAUCGCGAGCCAGAUGAGAGAAGCGAAGACUUACGCAUCCCCAAGAGGAGCCUGCUGAUUUCAAAGAAUCGAGCGGCAACUUAAGGCUCUUGAUCGAUACGUACUUCGCGAAGAGACCCUCGGAGCUUAAGUUGCUGGAGCCAGUGGCGGAGGUGAUUGUCAAGCCAGAGGAUCCUCCCGCCGAGCCGGCGACGAUGAUAGUCAAGCCCGAGGAGGAUACUUCCACUUCCAAAGACCCAGCAGUGCUAGUCAAGCCGGAGGAUCCUCCAACCGAGCCAGCAACAUUGCUACCGCUUCGCAGCUCUACGCCAAAGAUUGUCAUGGAAGUUCCAAGCCCAAGAACAGUGGCUUUGAGGCAGGAAGUGAAAGACCUCGAUCUGUUCGACGAGAAGCUCACGCCACCCGAGCCAGAGGCACCAAAGAAGAAGAAAUAAAAAAGUCCAGUCCAAAUGCCUUGGAAAGAAACGAAGAAAUCAUUCCAUUGUUUUGGUGCUAACACAGGUAACUUGAGUCUAACUGAGUCCUUCAGGUUGAACGUCGUCUCCAUGGUCUCGUUUCCGUGCCAAAGGUUCUUAAACAUCACCAAGUUCGCCGCCGACCAACAUCAAAGCCAUAUGGUGAUACGAUUUCCUUCACCUUACGGAUUUGUGAACGCACUGAUUCCUACACACAGACGUCAGCCAUUCUUGUGUCGAAACCCAGCAACUUGCAUUGAAUUCCGACGUCAGAGAUCGUCGAGUCCGGCCAAGAUGUUGGCGAUAAUGCCAAGGUUGGAGAGCAAUCCCUGUGAAUCGCAGCAAGAAAAAGAAUCUGAUCCCUUGGCCUUGAAGUGACUCGGUCAAGUGAACUUGUCUGCCUGCCUGAUAGUCGUAUUAUAAUUCUAUAUGCUCUCCAUUAAGGA